UACGUAGGGUGCGAGCGUUGUCCGGAAUUAUUGGGCGUAAAGGGCUCGUAGGCGGUCUGUCGCGUCGAAAGUGAAAACUCAGGGCUUAACCCUGAGCCUGCUUCCGAUACGGGCAGACUAGAGGUAUGCAGGGGAGAACGGAAUUCCUGGUGUAGCGGUGAAAUGCGCAGAUAUCAGGAGGAACACCGGUGGCGAAGGCGGUUCUCUGGGCAUUACCUGACGCUGAGGAGCGAAAGUGUGGGGAG
rnacentral:rRNA from 1 species